rnacentral:rRNA from 1 species
GACGAACCGUGCAAACGUUGUUCGGAAUCACUGGGCUUAAAGGGCGCGUAGGCGGGUUCCCAAGUCGGUGGUGAAAUCUUUCAGCUCAACUGGAAAAGUGCCGCCGAUACUGGGAGUCUUGAGGGAGGUAGGGGUCGAGGGAACUAAUGGUGGAGCGGUGAAAUGCGUAGAUAUCAUUAGGAACGCCGGUGGCGAAAGCGCUCGACUGGACCUCUUCUGACGCUGAGGCGCGAAAGCCAGGGGAGCAAACGGG